rnacentral:rRNA from 1 species
AACGAACGCUGGCGGCAUGCCUAACACAUGCAAGUCGAACGCCCUCUUCGGAGGGAGUGGCGCACGGGUGCGUAACGCGUGGGAACCUGCCCUUAGGUUCGGAAUAACUCAGAGAAAUUUGAGCUAAUACCGGAUAAUGUCUUCGGACCAAAGAUUUAUCGCCUUUGGAUGGGCCCGCGUUGGAUUAGCUAGUUGGUGGGGUAAAGGCCUACCAAGGCGACGAUCCAUAGCUGGUCUGAGAGGAUGAUCAGCCACACUGGGACUGAGACACGGCCCAGACUCCUACGGGAGGCAGCAGUGGGGAAUAUUGGACAAUGGGCGAAAGCCUGAUCCAGCAAUGCCGCGUGAGUGAUGAAGGCCUUAGGGUUGUAAAGCUCUUUUACUGGGGGAUGAUAAUGACAGUACCCAGAGAAUAAGCUCCGGCUAACUCCGUGCCAGCAGCCGCGGUAAU